AGUGAACGCUGGCGGUAGGCCUAACACAUGCAAGUCGAACGGCAGCACAGUAAGAGCUUGCUCUUACGGGUGGCGAGUGGCGGACGGGUGAGGAAUACAUCGGAAUCUACUUUUUCGUGGGGGAUAACGUAGGGAAACUUACGCUAAUACCGCAUACGACCUACGGGUGAAAGCAGGGGAUCUUCGGACCUUGCGCGAUUGAAUGAGCCGAUGUCGGAUUAGCUAGUUGGCGGGGUAAAGGCCCACCAAGGCGACGAUCCGUAGCUGGUCUGAGAGGAUGGUCAGCCACACUGGAAGUGAGACACGGUCCAGACUCCUACGGGGGGCAGCAGUGGGGAAUAUUGGACAAUGGGCGCAAGCCUGAUCCAGCCAUACCGCGUGGGUGAAGAAGGCCUUCGGGUUGUAAAGCCCUUUUGUUGGGAAAGAAAAGCAGCAGGUUAAUACCCCGCUGUUCUGACGGUACCCAAAGAAUAAGCACCGGCUAACUUCGUG
rnacentral:rRNA from 1 species